GGCCCUGUGGUCAAGUGGUUAAGACAUCGCCCUUUCACGGCGGUAACAGGGGUUCGAAUCCCCUCAGGGUCACCA
rnacentral:tRNA from 1 species